GUAAACCAAGAUUAGAAAUACAAGAAAGGGGAAAGGAAAGGGAAGGGAAAGGGAAAAGGAAAAGGAAAAGGGAAGGGAAGUGGUGAAAAACAGAGUGAAAAAAGUAAAAAGAGUUGGAGGGAAAAAGAGAGGGCAUUGGGGAGGAGCGGUGCUGCCUCAGGUCCUUCCCCGCCGUGGGGCGAAGGAGCCGUUUGAUGCCCGGGAGGGAGUGCAGGUCCCGGUGGCUCCCGGGGGACGGAGCGGUGGCUGUCAGCCCGAGACUCCAACUCCCGGCAGGCCGUGCUGCCGGCGCGGCGUGUGACGCAACGGCUAUCGCGGCACAUGAGUGGCUGUCAGCCCGAGACUCCAACUCCCGGCAGGCCCUGCUGCUGGCGCGGCGUGUGACGCAACGGGCGACGCGGCCCGGCAUUUUUCUCUAAAUCGGCAGUAAAUACAGCUGAGUAAAAUUAGCUUGGUUUUCUUCCUUCUUUUGUAACGGAACUGUUUUUAUUAAAAAUCCUAUUUGAAUAUGUGGAAAAAGUGGGGAUGUCCUGUAAUAUAUCGUCGCUUUUCUUGUUUACAGGGUGCUCAGAAAGCAUGCGUCCCUUAGAGUCCCACGGAAAGGUUCUCAGUGCGCUCUCUAUCAAGGAAGUGUUGGAAGUUAGUGUUUUCGGAAAGAAACGGCAGUUCCACAGAACAUUCCAUUUCACAGAGGCUCUGGGAACGAUUCAUGUUUGCUAUGAGUCUUGAUAAAUUGGAGAAGAGCCCAAGAGAAAUUUUUCAUCCCUUGAUAUAAAAGAGAUCGGUGAAUUUUAACUUUGGAGUCCACUAUGCUAAGGAUGCUCAGCUUACAGGUGAUGAAAUGUUCAGUAAUGUAUUUGCUGCAGCUCUGCUUACCCAAGCUUUGGGUUCCUUCUGUCCCACUGGGAGUUGCCCAGUUUGGUUGCAUCUGGUGAAAUUCACCCUGAGACCUUACAGAACUAGCUCCAACUACGUGAGAGCCAUUUGCAGUUCUCUCCAGACACCUGGAGAAUGGGUGACGUUUCUGAGGAUCCGGCGAGCGUGCUUCUAUCAAAACUCAGUCUGUGAAAUUUCUGGGGAAAACCCUUCUGUGUCCUGAAGGGUUCAAACUCUGGGAAAGACUCUUGUAUCCUUGUCGUCGGGCUCGGUGCUGUCCAAGAAGAUACGGGGACUAAAAAAAUCAUAAGAAGCAAAAUAUGACUGCAGGGAAAAGAAGCUGGAGAGAACAGAAGACUCAUCACGGCGGGACAGCGUGAGGACUGAAAGUGUAAGAAGAUGUGGAGGGAAAGAGAGAAUCUGACAGGAGCAGCGAACGCAUGAGUGCACGAAUUUUGCUUUUUGCUUGGAUGUAAACUCAGGAGUUGAGAGGAAUUUGGGAGUGAGAAGGGACAUUUCAGAAGGAGAAGAAGAAAAAGAAGUUGUUGCUACAGUCCUGGCAAAAGCUUUUGUUCUAGCUAAUAAAAGAAGUUAGUUUAAAAAACAAAAAGGAAAAAAUGUAGUGUUUUUUUUUUUCCUUCACUAUGAUAUUCAUUGGUGGUAUAUGGUGUGUUGUUUUAUUUCUUGGUAUUAUUAACUCUGUGUAAAUUGUUUUUUGAGUGAAGCUGACUUUCUGGAUGGGUUGGUUUGUAUUUGAGGCAGGAUUAAUUUCAGUAGGGUUCUUUCAUAGAUUUCUGAUGGGUAUUACUGGGAUUUUGGUUUUGUUUACUGUAUGUAUGAACCUAGAGCUUUGGUAGGGCCAGCUGGGCUGCUGGAGUUUUGGGUGUGAAUUUAUUAGAUGGCUUUUGUUAGAUGCAGUUUUUAAUUUUUGAAAUGUUUUUCAAUGUAGUGGUUUUAAGGUGGUUUUUAAGAAUUCAUUGUAUUGCUUUAUCUUGUUUGUAGUUGGUGUAUGAUAAGGGAUGUGGUGUGAGUUCUUGAACAUUAUGGUUUUGGUGUUCCUAAGUUCUGAUUUCUUUGUGGUUCAAUAUUUUUUUUUAUUUUUAUUUUUUGGGACAGGGGCAUUUAUAUGGUGGGUUUUUAUAGGCAAUAUGUUUUUUAAUUUAGGUAGUGAUAUUUUUUAAUAUUUUAAUAGUUUAGGUUUUUUAUUUUCAUGGUUUUAAUUAUUUUUUUUAAUUUUUUGAAAUAACUUUUAUAGAUUACAUGUUAUUAUUUGUGCAUUAACAUAAAGGUAGAGCUUUGGGGACUUUUUUUAGUAAUGUUUAGGGUCAGUUGUGCAGUUUUGAGUCUAGUGCGUUGGUUUGAUUUAAUUUUUAAUGGGUGUUUGUUUUUAUUAGCAGUUGUGUCAUUUUCAAGGUGUGUUUGAGUUUUUUGGGGUUUUUGAGAUACUGGUUUAGGAGGAAGUUUAUGAUGAGAAUGUGCGGAGGUUUUGGGCUACUUUAUAGUGGGAUUUAAAAUUUAUUUACAGUUAGGUUUAUUUGAGUUUUUAUUAGGGUUCAGUGACGUUGUGGGAUGUUUGUUCUGUUAGUAAUAGAAAUAGGUUUUGUUUUGCUGUGCUGCGAUGGGAUGGGCGUGUGCUGCGUGCCGGUGCUGACAAAGGUACAGUAUUGUUGUGGCUCUGGUGCGUCGGGUUAAUGAACUGACAUGGUUUAAUAUAGAGAUGAAAAUAGAAAUAAAUAUACAUUUAAAAAUAA